GCCUAUAGCUCAGUCGGUUAGAGCGCAUCGCUGAUAACGAUGAGGUCGCAAGUUCGAUUCUAACAAAAAAGGGGCA
rnacentral:tRNA from 1 species